UACGUAGGGGGCUAGCGUUGUCCGGAUUUAUUGGGCGUAAAGAGCGUGUAGGCGGCCAGGUAGGUCUGGUGUGAAAACUCGAGGCUUAACCUCGAGAUGUCAUCGGAAACCAUUUGGCUAGAGUCCGGAAGAGGAGAGUGGAAUUCCUGGUGUAGCGGUGAAAUGCGUAGAUAUUGGGAGGAACACCAGUGGCGAAGGCGGCUCACUGGACCGGAACUGACGCUGAGGCGCGAAAGCGUGGGGAGCAAACGGGG
rnacentral:rRNA from 1 species